rnacentral:tRNA from 1 species
UCCCUGAUGGUCAAGUGACUAAGACUCUGAGCUCACAAUGCAGGGGCCCAGGGUCGAUCCCUAGUCGGGGAA